GAUGAACGCUGGCGGCGUGCCUAAUACAUGCAAGUCGAGCGAACGGACGAGAAGCUUGCUUCCCUGAUGUUAGCGGCGGACGGGUGAGUAACACGUGGAUAACCUACCUAUAAGACUGGGAUAACUUCGGGAAACCGGAGCUAAUACCGGAUAAUAUUUUGAACCGCAUGGUUCAAAAGUGAAAGACGGUCUUGCUGUCACUUAUAGAUGGAUCCGCGCUGCAUCAGCUAGUUGGUAAGGUAACGGCUUACCAAGGCAACGAUGCAUAGCCGACCUGAGAGGGUGAUCGGACACACUGGAACUGAGACACGGUCCAGACUCCUACGGGAGGCAGCAGUAGGGAAUCUUCCGCAAUGGGCGAAAGCCUGACGGAGCAACGCCGCGUGAGUGAUGAAGGUCUUCGGAUCGUAAAACUCUGUUAUUAGGGAAGAACAUAUGUGUAAGUAACUGUGCACAUCUUGACGGUACCUAAUCAGAAAGCCACGGCUAACUACGUG
rnacentral:rRNA from 1 species